rnacentral:rRNA from 1 species
CAGCCGUAAACUAUGCGCGUUAGGUGUACUGGUGACCACGAGUCACCGGGGUGCCGAAGGGAAACCGUGAAACGUGCCGCCUGGGAAGUACGGUCGCAAGGCUGAAGCUCAAAGGAAUUGGCGGGGGAGCACCACAACGGGUGGAGCCUGCGGUUUAAUUGGACUCAACGCCGGAAAUCUCACCGGAUAGGACAGACAUAUGAUAGUCGGGCUGAAGACUCUACUUGAUGAUCUGAGAGGAGGUGCAUGGCGUAGACGUCU